CGCCCCGCCCGUGGCAAGCCCUAGCCGCCGCCUCCUCCCGCACUCGUGCGUCCUGCCCCUCGUGUGCGGCGCCUCCACCCAAACCCUAACCCUAGUUGCUCCCCACGCCGCCGUUGUCUCCUUCACCUAGCCUGCCGGAUCCCCGCCGUCGUCCUCGCGUGCACAUGGCAGGUGCUCCGCCUCUUCCUUCCAUCCGGCCAGACCCGCGGCGCACGAUCUCUCACGCUUGCUCGCAACCCUCAGUCGUGGCUUGGGUUUCGGGCUGGGCAUCGCCUUCGUCGCCGGCGCGGCUCUGGUGGAUUCCGACGGCACCUCUCCGUCUCCUUCCUCGCCCCCACACGCGACUGCACUUCCCGCUGGUCAUGGGGCUUGCCGGCAGCAGCGCCUCCCUCCCUCCCUGCCUGCCGCCGCCCGGAGCAGCGCCACCGACGGCUCCAUAGAAAUUCCAGCUAGGGCAUGGAACACAAGAAAGCUUGAGCAAAUCAUCAUGUGCAUGCUGAAAGGCUUAGUUAACAAGGGUGACAAUAAGAUGUGUGGACAAUUAAUUGCCAGGUUGCAGGAAUAGCUUUAUAUUAGGAGCAGCUUCUCCACCACCAUGCAGCGACAGAGGAGGUGUGCUUCUUCCCCAACACAACAUAGCGGCAACCACGGUAUCCUCUGCCCUCUCCCUCUAUCUACCCUCUUCUGUUCCUUAUCAAAAAUUCAUUUUUUUACCUUGUAUAAUACUUGUGAUUUGGACCGAUUUGUGUUUUGGGGGGCAUCAAUUUGGUGCUAACCCUGUCCAUGUGGAGAGAAAAGGACAAGAAGGGGAUAGAUGAUCAAGGAGAAGAAGAACUAGAAGAAGAAGGGCAAGGGAGGUGGAGCGAUAUGAAUUUCCAAGGAGGCUAUAGAAAACCAAUUAGUGUCGGCUGCCUUGAAGGGAGCCACAAGGAAGAGAGAGAUCAUUGUACAUGACCUGAAGAUGAUAAGGCGCCACUUCCACGACGAUAUCAACAUCGCCGUGGUCUGUCUUCAACGGCACCUGGGGCGACAUCAGAUCAUGGUCGUGGAGCAGCAACUGCAGCAGUGACCCUGCCAUGGCGGCGAUAUGGACGGCAUCACCAUAACCACAUUAAUGGU